AGAAGUGCUGACUGCGCUCUGCCUGUGCAGUGACAGCUCUGAGAUAAAGCCCACGAGGUUUAGUCCAGUGCAUGUGGCUGAAGAGAGCAGCUGGAUCUGUACACCCUGCAGAGCCUUAGUGCUUUGGAGUAUGGCUAGUCCAUAAUUCAUCUGUAGAACUUGCUGCCAGACCUCAGUGAUGGAGAAAGCACAAAGAGUUCAAUGCCCUGUGUAUGAAUUCCUUCCUGUGUGAGGUGUGCUGAUGCAAAUACAUCCUUGCAGUUAAGGGCCACCUCUCAUCCUUUGUGAUGCUAGUGGGGUCACCAGAAGUUGG